CAAAGCGUUACAUUCAGAAUUAGGGCUUGGGACAAAUACUGAUUUAUGAAUUCAAAAAUUGUGUUAUUUCCUUCGCACGCACACUGUAACCAUCAGGAACUUCAUGAUAAUUCAACACUUCAAGUGCUUUAAGACCUCCAAAAAAAUGAGCUAGCACGAUGGAAAAACAACAGCUUGGGAUGUCACACACGCUUCAAAGAUUUAAAAGGGGAAUAAAAGGAUCCUCCCCUCCUGCAGUGACUUUGCACGUCUAACCAGACACCGCGAGGGCACCUGAAUUUCAAGGAUCCGAAGGGAAGAGGAUUCACAGAAGGAGCGCUGGAGGAGACGCAAAAGUGCUGAUUUGCUUUGAGGAGGCGGUAUUGUGAAAAAUCGCUUGGCUUUUCAUGACCUGUGAGCUAAUCCAGCGCUUCUGUUCUCUUUAUAAAUGAGGUGAACUGGCUGGUCCAAUUUAUUUCAUUGAUGUGUGGUUUGUUGACACCUCUGGCAUGCAACAACAUACA